AAGUCGUAACAAGGUCAUCGUAGGUGAACCUGCGGUGGGAUCAUUUGUGAAAUUGUGGGGGCAACUCCUAUCUUGUGCGGGAGAUGUAAGAGAUUGCCCACUUUUUUAUGGGUGGGCGCCCAUUCAGCCAUAGACGCUGUCGGUUUGGAUCUUGGAAGAGACACUUUGGCUAAAGCAAUGUAAUCAUACACAACUAUACAUGGUGGAUCACUUGGCUCUC
rnacentral:misc_RNA from 1 species